ACUCCUACGGGAGGCAGCAGUGGGGAAUAUUGCACAAUGGGCGCAAGCCUGAUGCAGCAACGCCGCGUGAGGGACGACGGCCUUCGGGUUGUAAACCUCUUUCGCCAGGGAAGAAGCGAGAGUGACGGUACCUGGAGAAGAGGCACCGGCUAACUACGUGCCAGCAGCCGCGGUAAU
rnacentral:rRNA from 1 species